UACUUGAUGAGAAAACAGAUUUUGAAACUGUC
rnacentral:piRNA from 1 species